rnacentral:tRNA from 1 species
GCUGUAGCUCAGUGGCAGAGUGCUUGCCUAGCAUGCGUGAGGCACUGGGUUCGAUCCUCAGCACAACA